CGCUUUCCGUGCGUAAAAACAGUUCCUAAGUUGGCAAACCUAGAGUAAGGAGCCUUAUUUAUAGGUGGCACGUAGGGUAUAUGAAAAUUCCUCUUUAAACAUCGGAUCCUGUGAUGGUAAACAUUCAUAGGGUGUGACUGGCUGGUGCUUCUGCGCAGCUGUUGCUCAUCAGGGAGCAAUCAACCUGGGCUUUAAGAGGAGUGGAGAACCAGAGGGAGGCAUCAGCUCGUUGUCUCACAUAGCGUGGAAGACGUUUUUGCCGGAGAUUCAAUUCAAUUCACAACACAUGUUGUCUCAAGGCACU